UUCUUCUUCUUCUUAAAUUUUGUGUUAUCUUGCUGAAGGAAAGGUUAAGUUAUGUUUUUGGUGUGAACAACAGCACUGGGGUUUAAUCGGCUCCAAUGGGAUAACAUUUGCUGGAGAAUUUUGAUGGAAAAUGUGAGCACGAAGAUCUUAGAGGGUGCUAAUCGGACACUCAUUGUAUGCAAGUGAAGAGUGAUUAGAAGUUUUAAUGGAUUGAUAAACAACUGCGCAAGUUAAAAUAUCCCCAUCGCAUGUGUCGAGUCCAAUUCAGUCUCGGAAUCCAGCCAGGUUGCCUCCAAGAGGAUCACUACAAUCAGCAAUUAGCAGAAUGGUAGUAGAUUCCAAGGCAGAUUUUCUAUUCUGGAUCUAGAACUCACGAUUCACAGCCUGGAAUGCAGUCGACCAAUUUAGAAAUCCCAAAAAUGCAACUCAUCACAUCCUGGAUAUGCGGAUAAAAAGAUAUUUUUCUGGCGAUUCAGCUAUCACUAAGUCUCGUCUCGACGUGAAGAAGUAUUUUUCCACUUUCUUAGUAUCCGGAAAGAAGCUAAAUCCACCAGUACAUUUCAUUUUGACUUCAUAAUUGU